rfam:Altererythrobacter xiamenensis strain CGMCC 1.12494 genome assembly, contig: Ga0171583_12
UACCCAUCCCCGGGGAGCCAUGAGGCUGAGAGGGCGGUUGAAGUCCGCCGACCCGUUGAACCUGAACCUGCUAACACAGGCGGAGGGAGUGGGCUGGUAUCCGCCAG